GAACAAACCAAUUGGUUUGCGUUUGGACUGCCUUCUGAUAGUCUAUCUCAUGCAGCAGCAACUCUAGGUCAGUGACGCUCGCAGCAAUAGUCUCUUACAAUGCAGAUGUCAAUUAAUCUUAAUCACAAAUAUUGUCAAGAAGAUUGAUGACAUCGUCCAAUCAAAUGUAAACUUGAAUUACACAUAAUAAAGAAAAACAGAGAACGAAGACAAAUUUCCAGGCAGAAAAAGGAUUGCACAGUAUUUUCUACUCGACUAAAGUUAUCAAAUAUCCGAAAGCAUUUAACGGCUAAAUUAUACACUGGCCACAGAAAAAGGGCAAAAAGAAUCAUCCUAAAGUAUUAAAAAUGGACACAAGUUAGCUUUAACACAUGCAAACCAGUACAGAUUGUAGUUUCCUCCCACUCCUAAGCAGCAGCCGCUCAGAGAAGAAUCAAUGGUCUACUGAGGUGUUUGGGAAUGUGGUGGAGGCCCUGGCGGUAGUGGUGGAGGCAUACCAGAUUGACUACCAGACUGAUAAGGAUUAAACCCUGGCAUCAUUGGCAUCUGUCCACCUUGUGGUCGGUUGAAUGGUCCACCUUGUGGAUACAUUUGGUUCCCAGUUGCAUUUGAUGGGCCUUGCAUAUUUGGCAGGCUAUUAGGAAAGCCCCCUACUGGAGGGGCAGCACUUGUGGAUAAGGAUCCUGAGUGCAUUGGGUUCAUGCCCAUGAAAUGGCUUUGCGGCAUUGGCGGGACCAUUGGAUUCAUUGAGCCUUGCAUUCCCAUUGGACCAGGCAUUUGCAAUGGAUGCGAUGCAGACAUUGAUGAAGGCACAGGCAAGGAUCCUGGCAUAGAAGAUGGACUUGGUGAAGGCAUACCAUGAGGGGACACUUGUGGAGGGCGGGGUAGAUGGGGAUGAGGGAGGAGGGAUAAAUGUGAUGGUGGCUGUAGCUGCUGCAUAUUUGGUGGAGGCAUAGGCAAAGGAGGCAUUUGCUGAGGGAGGGCCUGGUGUUGCUGCUGCUGCUGCAUCUGCUGAGGAUUAUGUUGAUAUCCCUGCUGCUGAUUGGCAGCAAGAAGAGAUGGAUGUGGGCCAGGAGGAAGAGGAGGGGCUCCUAGAGGCAUAGAAAUUGGAACAGGCUGUUUCUGCUCCCCCUGACCUGACGCAUCAAGAGAUGGAAUUGCUAAUGGCAUUGCAGCUCCAACACCCGGAAUGGUUCCUUCAUUUCGAGUCAAUCCAACAGCAAAUGGUCCUGGAGUUGUUGGUGGUUCAGGUAGAGGGAAAUUACCAGGCAAGCGACCAGCAAGGGCAGGAUUUUGCUCACCAUAACCUGAUAUAGGGACUUUUCCUUGGUUCUGACCCAUGUUAAAUUUAUCACGAGCAAUGUCUCCAGGUCUAUUUCUGCACCAAAACUUUGUUGUAUGAUCAUUGCUACCACUGCAAAGAAGAUAUCCAAUAGGAUGCCAUGCAAUAUCCCACACGCUAUUAUCAUGAGCAUUGGCAACUUCAAUCUGGGGAGUUUCAUGCCUACUCGCAUAAAUGCAAGAUUAUUUCAAAAUUUACAUCCAAUGAAAAUAGCAAAUAGCAUUAAACAGAAGCAAAUAAAAACAAAAAGGAAGAGUAACAAAGUUGAAAAGGUUGCUAUGAGAGCAUGAGUCAUCAUCUACCUUGCAGCUUUCUUCAUUUUCCUUGGAUAGAACAUGAUAACUAAAGAAGAUCAUAACACAAAUCAAUGCUAUCAAUUCACCAAAAUAUCAUCUGAAUGACUUCAUUUCUUUAUAAGGACUUACUACUAUUAUAUUUAGAAGUCUAAAGUGUGUUUAUAUAUAUAUAAGCUAAUGGAGUAACUCUUUCAGACCCUUAAAAGACUCCAGAUUGGUGCACCUGAUCAAUUCAGGAUCCCAACAUCCCAAAAGCAGAAGCCUCCAUGAUGAGAGAACUCUAGAUACAUCACCUUAUGGCUUAUAAUUCUAUGCCAUCACAUCUUAAAACAACAUUGUUUUGUAAGUAUUAGUUCUAUUCUUUCUACCUGCAUUCUUUUCCUUUGAACUAUGUUCAAUGUUUCACAAAACCAAAGAGUGAAAAUAUAUUAAACAGAAACAUUUAACCACCUAAUGCAUUACAUACUGAAAAUACCAGAAAUAAGGGAAUAAAAUAAUUUAUGUGAAAAUAAAAUUCAGCAUGUGGAAGAAACUUA
rnacentral:misc_RNA from 1 species